rnacentral:tRNA from 1 species
GGAGGAUUGGCCGAGUGGUAAGGCACUGGCUCGCGCUGUGUUUGAUCAGAAGCGAGUCAUGGUCGGGCUGGAAGGCCCGCGCACGUUCGAUCCGUGCAUCCUCCG